CCCUGCUUGGGCUCAGCUGGCGCGGCCACAGGAUAAGUGCCUCUCCUUGAUAAGCAUCUUCCUUUUUCUGGUUUUAGGCAGAAAGCGGCUUACAGUUCUUGGCAUCAGAGCCCUUGAUUCCUUUUCCUUAUUUUCCCCACACUAUUUCUCACAAGGAUCAAAAGAGGUAACAGUGAAAGUUAUACCUAAGUUGCAAGUGGUCAUUUCCAUGUUGCAAAAGGUUAAAACCUGACAUGCUAUCGGUGCUCAGUAGACACCAUUACUGAAUGGCUAUUGGCCAUGGUGUCUUUAUUUAUCUAGAUAACCAUUAGAAAAUAUUUAUUAACCACCUACUAUGUGACAGUCUCUGUUAUAGACACUGGAAAUACAGGGGUAAGAGAAAAGAGAAAGAUGAAUCAAGAGCUAUCCUAAUGGACAAAGAUGAAUAGUAAGGAAAUUUGUUAGAGUAAUAUAUAAGAAAAUAUCAGAUUGUGAUAGUAGCUCUGCAGAGAAUUGAUUUAGGGUGAUGUAAUGUAGGAUGACUAGGUAGUUCUUAGAGCAGGACACCAGGUAAGACCUCCCCGGGAGGUGAUAAGUCAACAUCAGAUUGAAGGAGGUGACAUUCAUGCGAAGAUCAGAAGAAAGAAGAUUCCAGGCAGAGAGACAGCAAGGACAAGGGGGCUGGGCAGCUGGUGGAACUGACAGGACUUGCUGAUUGACUUCAUGUGGAUAAUGAGGAAAUGAGAGGACUCUAGGAUUCCUGGAAGACAAGAAUGGAAACCAGCAGCCUCCCACCAGCUCAGAUGCAGGUUCUUAUUGGCAAAUAAGAAGGUUGAUGUGACUCAAGCCCAGGAAAUGAUCCUCUUUCCCAGAACUGGGAGUCUCCAGGACUAGACAGACAUGGGAGCAUUUUUUUCAAGGAGAACCACUCCCCCAUGGAGCUAAUGAGUCCAUGACAUGUGACUAGUGCCAAUGCAGAUACACAGCAAGUAUAAAAUAAAUGCUGGCCAGGGGCAGUGGUGCAUGCCUGUGAUCCCAGAGACUCAGGAGGCUGAGGCAGGAGGAUGGGAGUUCAAAGCCAGCCUCAGCAAAAGCAAGGCGCUAAACAAUUC